rnacentral:rRNA from 1 species
AUUGAACGCUGGCGGCAGGCCUAACACAUGCAAGUCGAACGAGUGGCGGACGGGUGAGUAAUGUCUGGGAAACUGCCUGAUGGAGGGGGAUAACUACUGGAAACGGUAGCUAAUACCGCAUACCAUCAGAUGUGCCCAGAUGGGAUUAGCUUGUUGGUGGGGUAACGGCUCACCAAGGCGACGAUCCCUAGCUGGUCUGAGAGGAUGACCAGGCACACUGGAACUGAGACCCGGUCCAGACUCCUACGGGAGGCAGCAGGUGGGAAUAUUGGUCAAUGGAGGGAACUCUGAACCAGCCAUGCCGCGUGCAGGAUGAUGCCCUAUGGGUUGUAAACUGCUUUUAUCGGGGAAUAUGUACCCGAAGAAUAAGGAUCGGCUAACUCCGUGCCAGCAGCCGCGGUAAUAC